GACGAACGCUGGCGGCGUGCUUAACACAUGCAAGUCGAACGGAAAGGCCCUGCCUUUGUGCGCUGCUCGAGGGGCCAACGGGGGAGUAACCCGUGAGUUACCUGCCCUUGACUUUGGGAUAACCUCAGGAAACUGGGGCUAAUACCGGAUAGGAGUUCUUGCUGCAUGGUGGGGGUUGGAAAGUUUCGGCGGUUGGUGAUGUACUUGCGGCUUAUCGGUUCGUUGGGGGGGUAGUGGCAUACCAAGGUCUAGGCGGAUAGACGGCCUGGGAGGGUGACCGGGCACAUGGGGACUGAGAUACGGACCAGACGCCUACGGGAGGCAGCGGUGGAAAAUAUUACACAGUGGCCGGGAGCGAGAGGCAGAAACGCCGCGUGCGGGAUGACGGCCUACGGGUUAUAAACCGAUUUCGCCUGUGCCGAGGCGGGAGUGACGGUAAUGGGUAAAAAAGCACCGGCUAACUACGUG
rnacentral:rRNA from 1 species